rnacentral:rRNA from 1 species
CCCGAGGAAAAGAAAUCAACCGAGAUUCCCCCAGUAGCGGCGAGCGAACGGGGAGGAGCCCAGAGCCUGAAUCAGUGUGUGUGUUAGUGGAAGCGUCUGGAAAGGCGCGCGAUACAGGGUGACAGCCCCGUACACAAAAAUGCACAUACUGUGAGCUCGAUGAGUAGGGCGGGACACGUGGUAUCCUGUCUGAAUAUGGGGGG